AAGACUGUACUUUCAGGGAUCAUUUCUAUAGUUCGUUACUAGAGAAGUUUCUCUGAUCAAGUAAAGUAUCCAAAACCACAAACAGGAGCCAAAGUAUCCUUUCCUGAGCCUGAAGCCAGGUCUAGGUGUUGUUCUUGCAACUGCCUUUUACGUCUGAUGAUUGUUCUUCUCUUCCCUUGGAAGAGGGAGAGGGAGAGGAUAUAGUCUGAGUUGU